rnacentral:lncRNA from 10 species
ACCAGCUGCAGAUUGCUCUUGCUAAUGGUCAGCCCAGACUGAAAAGCCAGCCACACAGGCCUAAAUAAAAUAAUACUUAAAAAAAUUACUUGGGUUGCCAUCCCAAUGCUGAUUGAAAGGUUUCAAAGAUUGGAUCUAUUAGAGCAAACUGCUGAUUCAUCUUGUUUCUCUGCUGUUAACUGAGUUUCUAACAUUUAGGGACAUCCUAAUCACUCCUACAGAAAUAAAGGACAAACUCCUUGAUUUCAAAAUCAUGGGAAUACAUUUUUUGGAGAGAGUGACCUCAGCUUCUUUUCCUUUUCUGAGGGUCCUAUUAUUCAAGAAACAUGUUUUGAUCCCCAGCUGUGUGCCAGGAAACAUGCAAAGUGCAUUACAUACCUUGACUCAUUGAAUCCUCCCACAGACCCCACAUAUAGGAACCAUCGGAUCCCUGUGUACAGAUGAAGAACUGAGUCUUGGAAAGCUUAACUACCUUGCUCACAGUCACACGUUAAGGUCUAAAGUGAGAAAUUAAACCAAGUCUUCCAAUCUCAAAGACUUUAAAGGAAAAGCUACAAGCUACAAGAAUGAAAGGGAAAGAAAGAAAAAGAGAGAGAAGUUUUUC